AAUGAACGUUGGCGGCGUGGAUUAGGCAUGCAAGUCGAGCGUACCCAGCAAUGGGGAAGCGGCAAACGGGGUAGUAAGGCGUCGGUACGUGCCCUCGGGACGAGGAUAGCCACGGGAAACUGUGGGUAAUACUCGAUGACAUCGUGAGAUCAAAGGUGUGAUUCCGCCCGGGGAGCGGCUGACGUGGUAUUAGGUAGUUGGUGGGGUAAUGGCCCACCAAGCCUGGGAUGCCUAGGGGGUGUGAGAGCAUGGCCCCCACCAUUGGGACUGAGAUACUGCCCAGACACCUGCGGGUGGCUGCAGUCGAGAAUCUUCGGCAAUGGGCGCAAGCCUGACCGAGCGACGCCGCGUGCGGGAUGAAGGCCUGGGUUGUAACCGCUGUCAGGGGGAUGAAUCAUGGUGGGUUCUCCCAUCAUGUUGACAGAG
rnacentral:rRNA from 1 species